GGAGAAGAGGCAGGCAAUCGCUGCAUGCGGCAAAACACAGUUCUGUGAUUUGUUCGUGAUGGAGAGGAAAGUCCGGGCUCCUUAGGAGGCGGCGGUGGAUAACGUCCACCAUCCGUGAGGAUCGGGAAAGUGCCACAGAAAAGAUACCGCCUCCAGUUCGCUGGGGGUAAGGGUGAAAUGGUGCGGUAAGAGCGCACCGCAGUCUGGGUGACCAGACUGGCAGGGCAAACCCCGCCGGGAGCAAGACCAAGCAGGACGGAAUUCAGCUUCACGCUGAUCCAGAUCUCUCCGAUCUGGCCUCACCGUCCGGGUCGGUUGCAGGAGACGGUUGGCAACAAUCGUCCUAGAGAAAUGAUUGCCCACGACAGAACCCGGCUUACGCAGCUUCUCCAGAG
rfam:Planctopirus limnophila DSM 3776 chromosome, complete genome.